UCCUACCCUCAUCCUUUUGGUGACGGUGAUCCGUAACAGUUAUCGACUUAUUCUCAUCCUUUUGGUGACGGUGACCAUUUGAGUUAUGGACUCAUUAUCAUCCUUUUGGUGAUAACGGGUUUUGUUUUGAUCUUACCCUUAUCCUUUUGGUGAUGGCGAUCAUUAAGUUUGUUUCGGCUUAUUAUCAUCCUUUUGGUGAUAACAAGUUUUGAAGUUC
rnacentral:lncRNA from 1 species